rnacentral:rRNA from 1 species
UACGUAGGGGGCAAGCGUUAUCCGGAUUUACUGGGUGUAAAGGGAGCGUAGGCGGCUUAGUAAGUCAGAAGUGAAAGCCCGCAGCUCAACUGCGGGACUGCUUUUGAAACUGUGUGACUGGAGUGCAGGAGAGGUAAGCGGAAUUCCUGGUGUAGCGGUGAAAUGCGUAGAUAUCACGCAGAACCCCGAUUGCGAAGGCAGCAUACCGGUGCACAACUGACGCUCAGGCACGAAAGCGUGGGUAUCGAACAGG